rnacentral:rRNA from 1 species
GAAAUCGUACGUAGAGUGUAAAGGCAAAAGAGAGCUUGAUUGCAAGACAUACAGGUCGAGCAAGGAUGAAAAUCGGACUUAGUGAUCCGGUGGUUCUGCGUGGAAGGGCCAUCGCUCAACGGAUAAAAGCUACCCUGGGGAUAACAGGCUUAUCUCCCCCAAGAGUCCACAUCGACGGGGAGGUUUGGCACCUCGAUGUCGGCUCAUCACAUCCUGGGGCUGUAGUAGGUCCCAAGGGGUGGGCUGUUCGCCCAUUAAAGUGGUACGCGAGCUGGGUUCAGAACGUCGUGAGACAGUUCGGUCCCUAUCCGUCGCAGGCGUAGGAAAUUUGAGAAGACCUGUCCUUAGUACGAGAGGACCGGGAUGGACGUACCUCUGGUGUACCAGUUGUCCUGCCAAGGGCAUGGCUGGGUAGCUAUGUACGGAAUGGAUAAGCGCUGAAAGCAUCUAAGCGCGAAGCCAACUUCAAGAUAAGAUUUCCCACCGCAAGGGUAAGACCCCAGAAAGACUAUCUGGUUGAUAGGUCGAAGGUGUAAGUGCAGUAAUGUAUUUAGCUUAUCGAUACUAAUAGGUCGAGGACUUGACCAAU